ACUACUCCUUUUAUUUUAUUACACGCCAUCUUCUCCUUCUACAGACUGAUAAGACAUUAAGAACAUGAAAGACUGACACAUUGGCCAUGAAGUUCACAGACCCCUGAUGAAGGACAAAUCCUCGUGAUGUGUGAGCUCUAAAUGGGGAAAGUGGAGAGAAAACAAAGUGAAAGAACCAUGAACCUUCAGAUGCGAUGGACUCUUCUUAUCUUAUUGUUUCUACACAACACAGAUAUCUCCUGGGCAGACAGCUUCAUCGUCGUCGGUCCUUGCAAGCCCGUCGUCACUUAUGUCGGUGAAGAUGUGGUCCUGCCAGCCUCCCUCUCACCAGCGCUUAAUGCUGAGGCCUUUGAAGUGAGGUGGUUUACAACGGACAUCAUGACACCAGAGCUGUUAUACAUCAAUUACAAUAUCAGGAUACAGAGUGACACAAGAAGAACCCUGAGCAUAGACAACCUCAAGAAUGGCAACGUGUCUCUAAUAAUCAGAAAUGUCCGUGUUUCUGAUGAUCAUCUCUACAAGUGUUAUGUGUACUCGGGACAAAGAGAUGAUGAGACUGAGGUCUCACUCACUGUUGAAGUUUUAGGUGCUCAGCCCUCCAUUACCAUGAGCUCCACUGAAGGCCAGAAGACCCGACUGGAGUGCAGUGCUGAGAAGUGGAACCCCCAACCAGAAGUCACCUGGAGGGACAUGAAUGGGGCAGAUGUGACGUCACAGUCCACAAUAAAGUCAGAGCGGGACUCCGAGGGUCUUCUGAGAGUGAGCAGCGUCCUCCCGGUGAAGGAGGAGUACAACGUGUUCAGCUGUCUGAUGAGAAGUAAAGCACCAAAGCCAGACUGGCCAUCUGAACUCAACGUCUACAGUUUCUCCCCAGGGGUCUCUGGCUGGUUGGUGGCUUUCUGUGUCUUGUUGGUUAUUUGCUUAGCGGUGACUCCGCUGCUGGUCAUUCAAUGGAGAAGAAUGAGAGAAACAAACACCAGAUAUGAUUCAAUAGUUGGAUUCCUUCCUAUAUGGUUCCUGCACAAGGAAAUUGAAAAGUCACAACGCGUCACGAAUGCAGAAUGGAGGAGAAUAUGCAGCUCAGCAGCUGAUGUCACUUUUGACCCUGAGACUGCACAUCCACGGCUCAUUGUGUCUGAAGACGGGAAAGAAGUGAGACACACAGACACACGACAGAGAGUGACGGACAAUCCAAAGAGGUUUGACCGCUGUGUUAAUGUCAUGGCCAGAGAAGGAUUCACGUCAGGGAGACACUACUGGGAGGUGGAGGUCGGGGGGAAGACUGAGUGGACUUUAGGAGUCGCCAGAGAGUCGAUCAACAGGAAGGGGGGGAUUACACUGAGCCCAGAUGAUGGACUCUGGACUGUGUGGCUGAGGAAUGAGAACGAGUACACAGCUAACAUUGGCCGUCCUCUCCCCCUCCCCCUGAGAGUGAAGCCCCAGACAGUGGGGGUCUUUCUGGACUAUGAUGAAGGUCAGGUCUCCUUUUACAAUGCCCAGUCCCGCUCUCACCUGUACACCUUCACAGACUCCUUCACUGAGCCCCUCUAUCCGUACUUCAGUCCUUGUCUUAAUGACGGUGGUAAAAACUCGGCCCCUCUGGUCAUCUGCCCCCUGCGCACACACUGACCCCUCAGUAUUAAUGUCGUCUGUCCAUCUCUGAGCAGCACAAAGCCGAUGGAGACUUUCUUUAACAUCAGACCACCGAACUCAAAGCCCCCCUGAGGUGUCCUGCUGUUUGCUGCUCGUCUGAUUUUCAUUUUCAGGAUUUCUGUGUUUAAUGAGACAUCAGGACUGAACACUUGGGAUUUUUAAAUGGCGUCGGAUCAAAGAGUUGGCUCCGU